GUGAGGAAUAUUGGACAAUGGGCGCAAGCCUGAUCCAGCCAUGCCGCGUGCAGGAAGACGCAUCUAUGGUGUGUAAACUGCUUUUGUACGGGAAGAAACACUCCCUCGUGAGGGAGCUUGACGGUACCGUAAGAAUAAGGAUCGGCUAACUCCGUGCCAGCAGCCGCGGUAAUACGGAGGAUCCAAGCGUUAUCCGGAAUCAGUGGGUUUAAAGGGUCCGUAGGCGGUUUAAUAAGUCAGUGGUGAAAGCCCAUCGCUCAACGAUGGAACGGCCAUUGAUACUGUUAGACUUGAAUUACAAGGAAGUAACUAGAAUAUGUAGUGUAGCGGUGAAAUGCUUAGAUAUUACAUGGAAUACCAAUUGCGAAGGCAGGUUACUACUUGUGGAUUGACGCUGAUGGACGAAAGCGUGGGGAGCGAACAGGAUUAGAAACCCGUGUAGUCC
rnacentral:rRNA from 1 species